rnacentral:rRNA from 1 species
GACGAACGCUGGCGGCGUGCCUAAUACAUGCAAGUCGAGCGGACGGAUGGGAGCUUGCUCCCAGCCCGUCAGCGGCGGACGGGUGAGUAACACGUGGGCAACCUGCCUGUAAGACUGGGAUAACUCCGGGAAACCGGGGCUAAUACCGGAUAACUCUUUCCCUCACAUGAGGGAAAGCUGAAAGAUGGCAUCUCGCUAUCACUUACAGAUGGGCCCGCGGCGCAUUAGCUAGUUGGGGAGGUAACGGCUAACCAGGGCGACGAUGCGUAGCCGACCUGAGAGGGUGAUAGGCCACAUUGGGACUGAGACACGGACAAGAGUACUAAGGGAGGCAGCAGUAGGGAAUCUUACGCAAUGGACGAAAGUCUGACGGAGCAACGCCGCGUGAGUGAUGAAGGUUUUCGGAUCGUAAAACUCUGUUGUCAGGGAAGAACAAGUACCGGAGCAACUGCAGGUACCUUGAAGGUACCUGACCAGAAAGACACGGAUAACUACGUG